UACGUAGGUGGCAAGCGUUGUUCGGAAUUAUUGGGCGUAAAGGGCGCGUAGGCGGUCGGUUAAGUCAGCUGUGAAAGCCCGGGGCUCAACCCCGGAGGGUCGGCUGAUACUGAUUGACUAGAGUACGGAAGAGGUAGCUGGAAUUCCCGGUGUAGCGGUGAAAUGCGUAGAUAUCUGGAGGAACACCGGUGGCGAAGGCGGCAUCCUGGACCAACACUGACGCUGAGGAGCGAAAGCCAGGGGAGCAAACGGG
rnacentral:rRNA from 1 species